rnacentral:rRNA from 1 species
CUCCCAGACUCCUACGGGAGGCAGCAGUGGGGAAUAUUGCACAAUGGGGGAAACCCUGAUGCAGCGACGCCGCGUGAGCGAUGAAGUAUUUCGGUAUGUAAAGCUCUAUCAGCAGGGAAGAAGAUGACGGUACCUGACUAAGAAGCCCCGGCUAACUACGUGCCAGCAGCCGCGGUAAUACGUAGGGGGCGAGCGUUAUCCGGAUUCACUGGGUGUAAAGGGAGCGUAGACGGCCAUGCAAGCCAGGGGUGAAAGCCCGGGGCCCAACCCCGGGACUGCCCUUGGAACUGUGCGGCUAGAGUGCGGGAGGGGCAGGCGGAAUUCCUGGUGUAGCGGUGAAAUGCGUAGAUAUCAGGAGGAACACCGGCGGCGAAGGCGGCCUGCUGGACUGCAACUGACGUUGAGGCCCGAAAGCGUGGGGAGCAAACAGGAUUAGAUACCCCAGUAC